UGGGGAAUUUUGGACAAUGGGCGAAAGCCUGAUCCAGCAAUGCCGCGUGUGUGAAGAAGGCCUUCGGGUUGUAAAGCACUUUUGUCCGGAAAGAAAUCCUUGGCUCUAAUACAGUCGGGGGAUGACGGUACCGGAAGAAUAAGCACCGGCUAACUACGUGCCAGCAGCCGCGGUAAUACGUAGGGUGCAAGCGUUAAUCGGAAUUACUGGGCGUAAAGCGUGCGCAGGCGGUUUGCUAAGACCGAUGUGAAAUCCCCGGGCUCAACCUGGGAACUGCAUUGGUGACUGGCAGGCUAGAGUAUGGCAGAGGGGGUAGAAUUCCACGUGUAGCAGUGAAAUGCGUAGAGAUGUGGAGGAAUACCGAUGGCGAAGGCAGCCCCCUGGGCCAAUACUGACGCUCAUGCACGAAAAGCGUGGGGAGCAAACAGGAUUAGAUACCCUGGUAGUCCACGCCCUAAACGAUGUCAACUAGUUGUUGGGGAUUCAUUUCCUUAGUAACGUAGCUAACGCGUGAAGUUGACCGCCUGGGGAGUACGGUCGCAAGAUUAAAACUCAAAUGAAUUGACGGGGUCAUAGCUGUUUCCU
rnacentral:rRNA from 1 species